GGUUUUGAGCGCUGCCUCGAUCCCGGGCGUGCUCCACGAAAACCCCGCCGUGACGCCCGCACUCAACCUGCUGAUCGUCGUGUGCAAAAACUGCUGCCUUUGUCGUACGACAUGUUAUGUUACGUACUGCCCGAUGACAUGCUGAGUAGCUCCUCGGCGGGACAACCCAAGGAGCUUUACCGCAGGUAUAUCCUGAGGAGUAACUUCUCAGUACCUUAACUCAAAAGUACCUCCCAAUCAGAUCCCGGCCAAGAUGUCCAUGUGGUCGUGCUGCACAAGACAUCCUGAUUUGCUCCAAGGCAUGUACUUUUGGGAUGUCCCAGUAGCACGUGUGAGGGAUUCGUGUGGGAUGAUCCCAAACUCCUCCCAAAAGUAAAUGGGAGCUGCUUUGUUGACUGGGUUCCAGCUUCGACGUCCGCAUUCGAGUCGGCGUUCCGGGACACGGCGCUGCGUCCCGCGACGCCCCUGCACGUGGUGGGCCUGUCGCCCAGGAGUUGCAACGUGUGCAGCAACUGGCUCACCGCUCGGCACCGGACCUACGGCAAGCACCCCUCGGCCGAGGCGGCGUCCUGCGCGACCUGCGCCGAGGCGCGCGCCACCUGCGCCUCCAUGCCUGCCGCCGCCACCGGCCUGCAGUACGUUUGCGUGGGGCGGUAACCAAUGACGGACUUGGUUCGUGUAUUACUUUGUCAAAAAUCAAUAAAUGAUAAAACAGUAA